rfam:Brachypodium distachyon strain Bd21 chromosome 1, whole genome shotgun sequence.
CUAGUACUCCCUCCGUUCCUAAAUUCUUGUCUCAAAUUUGCCAAAAUCUGGAUGUAUCUAUUCUUAAAAAAAGUCUAGAUACAUGUAAUAUUUCGACAAGAAUUUAGGAACGGAGGCAGUAGCAG